rnacentral:rRNA from 1 species
UCGAUGGAGAGUUUGAUCCUGGCUCAGGACGAACGCUGGCGGCGUGCCUAACACAUGCAAGUCGAACGGAGUCCAAGAGAGCUUGCUCUCGAACGACUUAGUGGCGAACGGGUGAGUAACACGUGAGAAACCUGCCCCAGACUCGGGGAUAACCCAGGGAAACCUGGGCUAAUACCGGAUACCCUCUAAGGCUCGCAUGGGCCACUGAGGAAAGAUUUAUCGGUCUGGGAGGGUCUCGCGGCCUAUCAGCUAGUUGGUGAGGUAACGGCUCACCAAGGCUACGACGGGUAGCUGGUUUGAGAGAACGAUCAGCCACACUGGAACUGAGACACGGUCCAGACUCCUACGGGAGGCAGCAGUGGGGAAUCUUGCGCAAUGGGCGAAAGCCUGACGCAGC